AGAAGCAAAUUGCACAUCUUACAAGUUUGGUGACAGAGUUCUUAAAGGGAAAGACUCAUACGCAUAAGUCAUCUAUCCAUCAUGAUGGGGCCAUGUAUUCAACUGGUAGUACAAAUACUCGUUGAUACAUGGUGGAGUUAUGAGCAUGUAAAAUCUAGUUUCUGAUACAUGGAUAGCUUUUGUUCAGAUGAUCAUGGUGGAGUUGUCUACAAGCAGAAUCUAGUUUUUGGUAUAAGAAUAUUUUUGUCUACAUGAUGGUUGUUUGGAUGAAUAGCAACAUCAGAUAUUUUUGGAUUUUUAAUUUACAUUUUGAUGUGUUUGGUGAUGAUUAUCACCUUAACAUAUGGUAUGGAUGAAACAUUUUGAUGUAUAGUUAAUAGGUAUGCUUGACUUUAGACUUAUAGAUGAUGAUAUUUAUAAUGAAUGAUUAUGGAUUCUCCAACA